rnacentral:rRNA from 1 species
GACAGAGGGGGCAAGCGUUGCUCGGAAUUACUGGGCGUAAAGGGCGCGUAGGCGGGAUGGCAAGUCGGUCGUGAAAUCCCUCGGCUCAACUGAGGAUCGUCGAUCGAUACUGCCGUUCCUGAGGAUUGCAGAGGAGACUGGAAUUCCCGGUGUAGUGGUGAAAUGUGUAGAGAUCGGGAGGAACACCGGUGGCGAAGGCGGGUCUCUGGGCAAUUCCUGACGCUGAGGCGCGAAAGCGUGGGGAGCAAACGGG